CCGGCCGGCGGUGCGCCCCCCACGGCCGGGGCCCCUAGGCGAGGCCCCCGCGCAGCUGCUACCGCCACUGCCCACCCGCCCCACCUUUCUGCGCCUCCUCGCCCCGCCGCCCUCCACCUGCCCGGCGCUCCCGCGCCUGCCCCAGGAGCCCUUCCCGGUGGCCGCCCACCCCGCGGACUACCACCCACUGCCGGCCUUCCCCAGCGCCCCCAGCCCGUCUCUGCCGACGCCCCACUUCUUCCUGUCCCCACCCAGCUCUUGGCCCGAUCGGGUUGCUCUGCAGAAAAAUAGUCCCUGAGCACCUGGAGCUCCUGCCGAUCCAAUUUAGCCCGGGGUGCCAUUGGCCUUGUCUUGUAGACACUCUGGACGAGUGGCGCUCGCUAGGUAGCCCUUUGAUGGGUACAAAAGAUCAGCCCCUCAGUCCUGUGUUGCAGACAGGUGGCUUGCUUCUUCGCCUCCAGCCAAGUCUCGCUGGCUUCUGCCUAUGACCUCUGUGUCUCCCAAAGGGGUAGACCCCCCCACUUCUGGGGAAGAGACACAGCAGAUGAAUCCAGACCAGGUGAAAAGUCAGAAGUUUGGCUUCUCUGGAAGAAAAAGAUCCUGCCUUUGGUGUGACUGAGCCCAGAAGAUCUAGUCAAAAGAAGUUCAGAAUCCCUGGUUUCCAUCCCCUAACUGGGGAUGGCAGCUGACCCUCUGCCUGGUGGUCCUGAGUUAUUAGUUCCAUUCCAAAUCCUCUCCUUCCUAAGUAGAUGCUGCCCAUGGCUUCUUUCCCCCAGACCCCUAGCCUUAGUGAAGCUUUAUACCCCACCUUGAGCCAGAAGUUCUGAGCAGCAGCUGCACAGACCCUCCUGUCUCUGUGUCUACGCCACCUGCAGGAGCUGAGUCUGAUUUCCUGCUAGGAGUGGCACAAAACAGAAAUUCAGACCAAUGUAAAAACCAGCCUAAUAGUUCCUGGCUCUUGGAACAAAAUGGGAGAGUUGGUCGAGUUUGCAUAAUCCACAGAGGGAGUUUACUAGUUAACCCAGGUGAAGAGGUGGGACUGGGAAGGGAAGGACUGAGGUCAAAGGUCAAACCAACUGAAACUCUUUAGGAAAAGAAAAGCCUGCUCAGUGAAGAAUUUGAGGGAAUCAGCCUACUCAUUUUUCUGAGCCCCCUUAGGCAAGGCAAUGUUAAUGAAAUCAGCUGAAUGGAAGAAGGAAAGUAUGGGGUCUUAGCUAAUUCAUAAUGCUUGAUGAUUUCAUCAGUCUCCCUAAGCCCUUCAAAAAUUGAUUGGGCUGCAACUGAUAAUACUAUCUGGCCUAAGAAGCUCAGUGUUCCAUCCAGGUUUAGAGUUAAAGGUUAAACAGUAUUUAUUAAAGUUCACAGUAUUAAAGUCCCUAGUAUUACAUGGCACGGUUUUGCCUGUGAAGAGUUUAUAAUCAAGACAGGCUCAGCAAAUGUGUCCCCCACCCAUGGUCAUAUCUAUUUCCUUUUCUACCAUGAGGCAACCCAAAUUGUAAAAUUUCUGGUUUUAAUGUUGGAAAUUUACAACUGAAUAAAGUCUUUGUUGUUUUUGUCCACAGGCAGCCUUUCCUUUUGAUUGUUUAGAAGUAAAAAUCAUACUUGGGAACCAGGCACGUUUGUGCCCUAGCUCUGACAUCUAUCUAUGACAGAGGAAAUGUGGUGUAA